GACGUAGGGUGCGAGCGUUGUCCGGAUUUAUUGGGCGUAAAGAGCUCGUAGGCGGCUCGUCGCGUCGACCGUGAAAACCCGCGGCUUAACUGCGGGCUUGCGGUUGAUACGGGCGGGCUAGAGUUCGGUAGGGGAGACUGGAAUUCCUGGUGUAGCGGUGAAAUGCGCAGAUAUCAGGAGGAACACCGGUGGCGAAGGCGGGUUUCUGGGCAGUAACUGACGCUGAGGAGCGAAAGCGUGGGGAGCGAACAGG
rnacentral:rRNA from 1 species